rnacentral:rRNA from 1 species
UACAGAGGUCUCAAGCGUUGUUCGGAUUCAUUGGGCGUAAAGGGCGCGUAGGCGGCGGGGUCAGUCGGGUGUAAAAUCUUGGGGCUUAACCCCGAAACGGCACUCGAAACUGCCCGGCUGGAGGGCCGGAGAGGAGAUCGGAAUUCACGGUGUAGCAGUGAAAUGCGUAGAGAUCGUGAGGAAGACCCGUGGCGAAGGCGGAUCUCUGGACGGCUAACUGACGCUGAGGCGCGAAGGCCAGGGGAGCAAACGGG